rnacentral:lncRNA from 1 species
AGGUAAAAAUCUUUUUUUUUUUGUGAUGUAAAAGAGGUAGUGAUCGUGAUCGAUGAAGGUCGAUUUCAACAGCACUCGAGGUAGAUAGCUCAAUUUUCAUUCUUACGCACAUACUAAUUAAUAAUUAUUGCUAAAUUCACUUACCUUUCCCAAUACAGAAGACCUCAUUCACGAAUACAUCAGUUGCCUCGCACUCUGGCUCUUCAAAUGGAUCAAAAUUCGACGAUAGAUCAAUCGAGUGGUGCCCAUGUUGCCGCAUCAACUACACUUUUAUGUAAAAACAAAACUAAAUCUUAUGUCUACAUUUCUAAAUUUUCAUUUUUGUUUACCUGUUUUAUACUUCUAUACCUCAUCAUAGGCCUCGAUAACCAGCCGAAUCAUUGCAUCGGAGUUUUGGCCUGUCAUGACAUCAGGGUGGAAUUGCUUCACUUUGCCACGAAAAGCGGUCUUG